rnacentral:rRNA from 1 species
UACGUAGGGUCCGAGCGUUGUCCGGAAUUACUGGGCGUAAAGAGCUCGUAGGUGGUUUGUCGCGUUGUUCGUGAAAACUCACAGCUUAACUGUGGGCGUGCGGGCGAUACGGGCAGACUUGAGUACUGCAGGGGAGACUGGAAUUCCUGGUGUAGCGGUGGAAUGCGCAGAUAUCAAGAGGAGCACCGGUGGCGAAGGCGGGUCUCUGGGCAGUAACUGACGCUGAGGAGCGAAAGCGUGGGGAGCGAACAGG